GUUUUCGAAUAAUGACUUGUCAAAAUAGCUGAUCCCGUUUGAUUUGAGAAGUUAAGCAUAGUCGAGCCACAUCAGUACUGAGGUUGGAGACAACUUGGGAACCUGUGGUGCUGUAGUCU
rnacentral:rRNA from 1 species